GGAAUAUAAGAACUCGUCUCUUAACUUUUAACUAAAAAAACUAAGAACCGGUUUUUAAAUAAGAGUUUUAAGAGACGGUUCUUAUCGUUUUUAGUUAAAAGUUAGAGACGGAUUCUUAUAUUCC
rfam:Brassica napus, WGS project CCCW01000000 data, contig: 9058